GCAUGAAGGGGCUAAAUUAAAUGAAAUAUGUUCUUUUUAUACAUAUGUUUAAAAAGCACUUACCUAAGUUUCAAAUUUUUCAAAAUAAAACAGGAGGAUGGGCAAAAAUCUCAAUUUCAAUUGAAAGAAUAAGUUGAAUGAAAAGUUUUUGAUUUAUCUAUCAUUAUAGGCAGACAGCACUAACAAAGAUAAAGUGACAGACAUAUAAAAGAAAUUGAU
rnacentral:lncRNA from 1 species